GACGAACGCUGGCGGCGUGCUUAACACAUGCAAGUCGAACGGAAAGGCCCUGCUUUUGUGGGGUGCUCGAGUGGCGAACGGGUGAGUAACACGUAAGUAACCUGCCCUUGACUUUGGGAUAACUUCAGGAAACUGGGGCUACUACCGGAUAGGAGCUCCUGCUGCAUGGUGGGGGUUGGAAAGUUUCGGCGGGUGGGGAUGGACGCGCGGCUUAUCAGCUUGUUGGUGGGGUAGUGGCUUACCAAGGCUUUGACGGGUCGGCGGCCUGAGAGGGUGGCCGGCCUCAUUGGGACUGAGAUACGGCCCAGACGCGUACGGGAGGCAGCAGGGGGGAAUAUUGCACAAUGGGCGGAAGCCUGAUGCAGCGACGCCGCGUGCGGGAUGACGGCUUUCGGGUUGUGAACCGCAGUCGCCUGUGACGAAGCGGGAGUGACGGUAAUGGGUAAAGAAGCACCGGCUAACUACGUG
rnacentral:rRNA from 1 species